UAGUUGGUGGGGUAAUGGCCUACCAAGGCGACGAUCAGUAGCGGGUCUGAGAGGAUGAUCCGCCACACUGGAACUGAGACACGGUCCAGACUCCUACGGGAGGCAGCAGUGGGGAAUUUUGGACAAUGGGGGCAACCCUGAUCCAGCCAUUCCGCGUGAGUGAAGAAGGCCUUCGGGUUGUAAAGCUCUUUCAGCCGGAACGAAACGGUAUUCCUUAAUACGGGGUGCUAAUGACGGUACCGGCAGAAGAAGCACCGGCUAACUACGUGCCAGCAGCCGCGGUAAUACGUAGGGUGCGAGCGUUAAUCGGAAUUACUGGGCGUAAAGCGUGCGCAGGCGGAUUGUUAAGCAAGAUGUGGAAUCCCCGGGCUUAACCUGGGAAUGGCAUUUUGAACUGGCAGUCUAGAGUGUGUCAGAGGGGGGUGGAAUUCCACGUGUAGCAGUGAAAUGCGUAGAUAUGUGGAGGAACACCGAUGGCGAAGGCAGCCCUCUGGGAUAACACUGACGCUCAUGUACGAAAGCGUGGGUAGCAAACAGGAUUAGAUACCCUGGUAGUCCACGCCCUAAACGAUGUCAACUGGUUGUUGGGGGGAGUGAAAUCCCUUAGUAACGAAGCUAACGCGUGAAGUUGACCGCCUGGGGAGUACGGUCGCAAGAUUAAAACUCAAAGGAAUUGACGGGGACCCGCACAAGCGGUGGAUGAUGUGGAUUAAUUCGAUGCAACGCGAAAAACCUUACCUACCCUUGACAUGUCCAGAAUCCUGCAGAGAUGCGGGAGUGCCCGAAAGGGAAUUGGAACACAGGUGCUGCAUGGCUGUCGUCAGCUCGUGUCGUGAGAUGUUGGGUUAAGUCCCGCAACGAGCGCAACCCUUAUCAUUAGUUGCUACGCAAGGGCACUCUAAUGAGACUGCCGG
rnacentral:rRNA from 1 species